UACGUAGGGGCAAGCGUUGUCCGGAUUUACUGGGCGUAAAGCGCGUGUAGGCGGCCACGCAGGUCCGUUGUGAAACUAGAGGCUCAACCUCUAGACGUCGACGGAAACCGUGUGGCUAGAGUCCGGAAGAGGAGAGUGGAAUUCCUGGUGUAGCGGUGAAAUGACGUAGAUAUUGGGAGGAACACCAGAUGCGAAGGCGGGUCACUGGGCUGAUACUGACGCUGAUGCGCGAAAGCCAGGGGAGGCGAAACGGG
rnacentral:rRNA from 1 species